rnacentral:lncRNA from 1 species
UAACCGGACAUGUCUAUUAUGUACAUAAGCAGUAAGGGUGUCCCUUUUCUUGCUAAUGGGGGAAACCAGUCAACUAAAUAUAUGUUCUUACGCUUAGUUGAGUUCUUCAUUUUGAGAAUAACAAAAACUCUGACAUUUUACAAACAAACAUUAUAAAUUUUUUUAAAGAGAGUUAUUGAGUGUCCGAAAUGCUUUGUGAGGACUGGGGACGUUUUGGGGGAGGGGGUGUGUGUAUGCACUACGAUUUAUUUAUUUUUGAUUUUUUUUACCGAGUCGCUAAUGGAAACAUCAGUACAGUCCCAUCUAAAAAAACAUACUCCCCCUCCGUCUCCUUUGUUGGACAGAAAAAUACUGAAUUUGUUAGACUAAAGAAAAAGAAACAUCAGUAUGUACAAUUGCAAGUUUGCAACGCUAUAAUUCUGGUGUAUUAGACUGCAGAAAAAAGGUGGAAAUAGUAAUCCGCAAAGUCCUUUUUCCCCCGACCUGAGACAAAGAUGUUUAACAAUCAGCCCGGGGGAUCCUGAUGCCUAAUUGGGCGCAUGGUUUGGUG